AGGACGAACGCUGGCGGCGUGCCUAACACAUGCAAGUCGAACGAGAAAGUGGAGCAAUCCAUGAGUAAAGUGGCGCACGGGUGAGUAACACGUGACUAACCUACCCUCGAGUGGGGAAUAACUUCGGGAAACCGAGGCUAAUACCGCAUAAAACCUAAGGGUCAAAGGAGCAAUCCGUUUGAGGAGGGGGUCGCGGCAGAUUAGUUAGUUGGCGGGGUAAUGGCCCACCAAGACGAUGAUCUGUAUCCGGCCUGAGAGGGCGCACGGACACACUGGAACUGAAACACGGUCCAGACUCCUACGGGAGGCAGCAGUGGGGAAUUUUGCGCAAUGGGGGAAACCCUGACGCAGCAACGCCGCGUGGAGGAUGAAAUCCCUUGGGAUGUAAACUCCUUUCGAUCGGGAAGAUAAUGACGGUACCGGAAGAAGAAGCCCCGGCUAACUUCGCGCCAGCAGCCGC
rnacentral:rRNA from 1 species